AUUGAACGCUGGCGGCAUGCUUUACACAUGCAAGUCGAACGGCAGCACGGGGGCAACCCUGGUGGCGAGUGGCGAACGGGUGAGUAACGCAUCGGAACGUGCCCAGUAGUGGGGGAUAACACAUCGAAAGAUGUGCUAAUACCGCAUACGCACUGAGGUGGAAAGCGGGGGAUCGCAAGACCUCGCGCUAUUGGAGCGGCCGAUGUCCGAUUAGCUAGUUGGUAGGGUAAAGGCCUACCAAGGCGACGAUCGGUAGCUGGUCUGAGAGGAUGAUCAGCCACACUGGGACUGAGACACGGCCCAGACUCCUACGGGAGGCAGCAGUGGGGAAUUUUGGACAAUGGGCGCAAGCCUGAUCCAGCCAUGCCGCGUGAGUGAAGAAGGCCUUCGGGUUGUAAAGCUCUUUCGGCCGGAACGAAAUCGACCAGAUCAAUACCCUGGUCGGCUGACGGUACCGGAAGAAGAAGCACCGGCUAACUACGUG
rnacentral:rRNA from 1 species